UACGUAGGGGGCAAGCGUUGUCCGGAAUCAUUGGGCGUAAAGCGCGUGUAGGCGGCUCGGUAAGUCCGCUCUGAAAGCCCGGGGCUCAACCCCGGGAGGCGGGUGGAUACUGCUGAGCUCGAGUCCGGAAGAGGAGUGUGGAAUUCCUGGUGUAGCGGUGAAAUGCGCAGAUAUCAGGAGGAACACCGGUGGCGAAGGCGGCACUCUGGGCCGGUACUGACGCUGAGGAGCGAAAGCGUGGGGAGCGAACAGG
rnacentral:rRNA from 1 species